GACGAACGCUGGCGGCGUGCCUAAUACAUGCAAGUCGAGCGAAGUUUUUCUGGUGCUUGCACUAGAAACACUUAGCGGCGAACGGGUGAGUAACACGUAAAGAACCUGCCUCAUAGACUGGGACAACUAUUGGAAACGAUAGCUAAUACCGGAUAACAGUAUUUCUCGCAUGAGAGAUAUUUAAAAGUUGGUUAUGCUAACACUAUGAGAUGGCUUUGCGGUGCAUCAGCUAGUUGGUGGGGUAAAGGCCCACCAAGGCGACGAUGCAUAGCCGACCUGAGAGGGUGAUCGGCCACACUGGGACUGAGACACGGCCCAGACUCCUACGGGAGGCAGCAGUAGGGAAUCUUCCGCAAUGGGCGAAAGCCUGACGGAGCAACGCCGCGUGAGUGAAGAAGGAUUUCGGUUCGUAAAGCUCUGUUGUUAGGGAAGAAUGGAUAUGUAGUAACUAUACAUGUAAGAGACGGUACCUAACCAGAAAGCCACGGCUAACUACGUG
rnacentral:rRNA from 1 species